GGGCCCGUAGCUUAGUCUGGAUUGAGCAUCGGACUUCUAAUCCGAGGGUCGAGGGUUCAAAUCCCUCCGGGCCCG
rnacentral:tRNA from 1 species